rnacentral:lncRNA from 1 species
GAAUUUACCCAAACAAAAACUCCUCCCUUUUUCCUUUGAGGUAGGGACGAAAACUUUUGUAAAAUGGUUUAUUUCAAUAUCGAUCACUAGACUUUAUUAAAAAUUUAAAAUGGUUAUUGAAGUAAUUUUUUUUUACAUUUAUAGUCACUGUGGCUUCUAUCGAUUAUACUACUGGUCUCUACUGUAGUUUAACAUAGACAAAACCAGCACUGCUAGUUACUGUUUGUGCCUACGUUAGAAAUUAAAAGCAAGGUGCAGGAUUUUAACCAGCUUUCGCUAUGAUGAAAUUAAACCUUUUUAUAAUAAUUUUUUUGGAGAUAAUUUCUUAAAAUAAUUAGAGAAUAUAUAAUGAAAUUAGUCAAUUGUACGCCCAAAAUCUUUGUACUCAUCUGUACAGUAUGCUGUAUCAUUUGUACUCUGUCUUCUCAACAGCAAAUAGCUAGGGCUUCACGGACGGAUCCACCAACAAAUCAGAAUAGGAAAUCCCAAAUCUGCAAAAUUUCGCAUUUGAUCAUCGGAUCUGAAUCGAAGAAUCCGUUUUUGCUCUCUAUCCUCUUUCAAUAAUUAUGUCGAUCGUAUAAUCAUCGUAUUCUUUUAAUAUCUGUCAUUUUUUAUUUUAAUUAUUUAAUAAUAUUACUCAAAUUAUCAUAAAUUAUUAGAUUGGAUUUGACUAUAAUUUUUUUUCCUGCUCUUUUUUCUUCAUUUUUUUUUUUUUGACAAAGAAAUUUUUUAUGGAUGCCUAAAUUUGAUACGCCAUGAGGAAGAAACUGGAUACUCGUUUCCCAGCUGUAAGUUUUUCUACUCUCUUUUUUAGUUUGUCGCGUUGUUCAUGCAUAAUCGUGAACUACGAAUGAAGUUUAAUUUUUAAAUUAUGCGUGUUGUUCAAUCUUAAUGUUUUUAUGCGAUCUGGGUUGUUUCUUAUUUAUUAAUUAUUUUUCUGAAAUUUUUAUUUUUUGAAAUACAAGUUGUAGGACGUUUCAAAAGGUAUAAUUUUGUAUUUUUCCCAUUUGUGAUUUUUAAGCUUUAAUUACUUCGUGUAAAGUGAAAAUAUGGAAUCUCAUUUAGUUUUUCAACCACGUUUCUAAGCUAUAUUUAGUCCAUAAUUAGUGUUCAGUUUUUGAAGCAGGAUGUACCGCUCGCAAAUAUUAUUCUGUGUGCUUCAUUUAUUUUGCCUUGUUUUUCCAUGAAGAUCAUAUUUUUUCUGCCAAAACUUGAUACAACUUUUGAAGUCUGAAUCCUUAUUUUAACUUGUGUUUGUUCCUUUUUCUGCCAAAACUAGAAAAUUUGUUGUUUAUUGAUUCCUAUGUCCUAUAUGGCCUCUAGCACAUCCUCAUGUCAAUGAUGUCCGGAUUUAAAACCUAAAAAUUCCUAAUAUCUCCUAUUCUCUAGUUUUUCUCUCCCACACCUGUAUCUUGAACUGUUACCCCUACCACAUACAAAGAGAGGAAACUAUGAAUAAGCAGAUACGUCGAUGAAUGUUUACAUUGAAUCUGUGGACACAUGGAUUGGUAAUGCAUUACUCCUUACAUCCUUAGUUAUUUCACCACAAAGUUUUAGAAAUGAGAGAAAUGCUUGCCAACUCUUUGCAGCUUCUAUCAGUAUUGAAAUCACCCAUUUAACUGAUCNNN